rnacentral:misc_RNA from 1 species
AAGUCGUAACAAGGUUUCCGUAGGUGAACCUGCGGAAGGAUCAUUUGCGUUGCUGUGGUGUGCGCUGCGCUCUCUGUGCACGUGCUCCUCAACACGAUUCAUUCGCUCACUGUGUGGAAGCGUCCCUCCCCAGCGUGUGUGUGGGGGAUGUGUGUGUGUGCUUUGUUUGCCUUGCCUUGCUUUGCUGCGAUGCCCCUCGUGUGGGAGGCAGCAGCAGCAGCAGCAGCAGGCACAGAGCCGCACACACGCCCCCGCCCGCGCUGCUUUGUACUUUCAACAACAACAACAACCCUCGAUAACACACCCUGUGUGUGUGACACACCAUGUCCAAAGGCGCGUGUGAGCACCGCUCGCACCCAACAAACCAAUGAAAACAUCAUGUACAGUUUUAACGGUGGAUCUCUUGGCUCGU